AUCCAGCAGAGGAGUCCAGAAAAGAACGAAACAUGCGUCCUGGAU
rfam:Schistosoma curassoni strain Dakar, Senegal genome assembly, scaffold: SCTD_scaffold0006821